UACGGAGGGUGCAAGCGUUAUCCGGAUUCACUGGGUUUACAGGGUGCGUAGGUGGGUUUGUAAGUCAGUGGUGAAAUCUCCAAGCUUAACUUGGAAACUGCCGUUGAUACUAUAAAUCUUGAAUGUUGUGGAGGUGAGCGGAAUAUGUCAUGUAGCGGUGAAAUGCUUAGAUAUGACAUAGAACACCAAUUGCGAAGGCAGCUCACUACACAAAGAUUGACACUGAGGCACGAAAGCGUGGGGAUCAAACAGG
rnacentral:rRNA from 1 species